AUGUUUUCGUCACAAUCACUCAGCCGCGUCAACAACAUCCGGACAACGCUGAUCAAUGCGCAGAAGGGCAAUCAAUCGGUGGCCACCUUCUUCGCCGCCAUGAGGGGUCUCGCCGAUGAACUUGCCGCGGCGAGAAAACCCAUCAAGGACGACGAGUUGAUCUCCUACAUCAUCCGUGGGCUGGACCAAGACUACCAGCCCCUUGUCUCUACACUAGAUGCCCGUGUCACUCCGGUAACUCUCGAUGAACUUUUUGCCAUGCUCAGUAACUUUGAUCAAUACAUGGCACAGUAUCAUGGUCCCGGCGGUGGCUUCAAGUCGUCGGCAAACUCUGCAUCCAGAGGCCGCGGUGGUGGCUCUUGA
rnacentral:rRNA from 1 species